UACGAAGGGGGCUAGCGUUGUUCGGAAUUACUGGGCGUAAAGCGCACGUAGGCGGAUAUUUAAGUCAGGGGUGAAAUCCCGGGGCUCAACCCCGGAACUGCCUUUGAUACUGGGUAUCUCGAGUCCGAGAGAGGUGAGUGGAAUUCCGAGUGUAGAGGUGAAAUUCGUAGAUAUUCGGAGGAACACCAGUGGCGAAGGCGGCCCACUGGCUCGGUACUGACGCUGAGGUGCGAAAGCGUGGGGAGCAGACAGG
rnacentral:rRNA from 1 species